rnacentral:rRNA from 1 species
GGUUAAGCGACUAAGCGUACACGGUGGAUGCCCUGGCAGUCAGAGGCGAUGAAGGACGUGCUAAUCUGCGAAAAGCGCCGGCGAGGUGAUAUGAACCCUUGACCCGGCGAUGUCCGAAUGGGGAAACCCAGUGCAAUCCGUUGCACUAUCGUUAACUGAAUACAUAGGUUAACGAGGCGAACCGGGGGAACUGAAACAUCUAAAUACCCCGAGGAAAAGAAAUCAACCGAGAUUCCCCCAGUAGCGGCGAGCGAACGGGGAGCAGCCCGGAGUCUGAAUCAGCUUGUGUGUUAGUGGAACGGUCUGGAAAGUCCGACGGUACAGGGUGAUAGUCCCGUACACGAAAAUGCACAUGCUGUGAACUCGAAGAGUAGGGCGGGACACGUGGUAUCCUGUCUGAAUAUGGGGGGACCAUCCUCCAAGGCUAAAUACUCCUGACUGACCGAUAGUGAACCAGUACCGUGAGGGAAAGGCGAAAAGAACCCCGGCGAGGGGAGUGAAAAAGAACCUGAAACCGUGUACGUACAAGCAGUGGGAGCCUCUUUAUGGGGUGACUGCGUACCUUUUGUAUAAUGGGUCAGCGACUUAUAUUCUGUAGCAAGGUUAACCGUAUAGGGGAGCCGAAGGGAAACCGAGUCUUAACUGGGCGUUAAGUUGCAGGGUAUAGACCCGAAACCCGGUGAUCUAGCCAUGGGCAGGUUGAAGGUUGGGUAACACUAACUGGAGGACCGAACCGACUAAUGUUGAAAAAUUAGCGGAUGACCUGUGGCUGGGGGUGAAAGGCCAAUCAAACCGGGAGAUAGCUGGUUCUCCCCGAAAGCUAUUUAGGUAGCGCCUCGUGAACUCAUCUUCGGGGGUAGAGCACUGUUUCGGCUAGGGGGCCAUCCCGGCUUACCAACCCGAUGCAAACUACGAAUACCGAAGAAUGUUAUCACGGGAGACACACGGCGGGUGCUAACGUCCGUCGUGAAGAGGGAAACAACCCAGACCGCCAGCUAAGGUCCCAAAGUCAUGGUUAAGUGGGAAACGAUGUGGGAAGGCACAGACAGCCAGGAUGUUGGCUUAGAAGCAGCCAUCAUUUAAAGAAAGCGUAAUAGCUCACUGGUCGAGUCGGCCUGCGCGGAAGAUGUAACGGGGCUAAACCAUGCACCGAAGCUGCGGCAGCGACACUAUGUGUUGUUGGGUAGGGGAGCGUUCUGUAAGCCGUUGAAGGUGUGCUGUGAGGCAUGCUGGAGGUAUCAGAAGUGCGAAUGCUGACAUAAGUAACGAUAAAGCGGGUGAAAAGCCCGCUCGCCGGAAGACCAAGGGUUCCUGUCCAACGUUAAUCGGGGCAGGGUGAGUCGACCCCUAAGGCGAGGCCGAAAGGCGUAGUCGAUGGGAAACAGGUUAAUAUUCCUGUACUUGGUGUUACUGCGAAGGGGGGACGGAGAAGGCUAUGUCAGCCGGGCGACGGUUGUCCCGGUUUAAGCAUGUAGGCGGAGGUUCCAGGUAAAUCCGGUACCUUGUUAACGCUGAGGUGUGAUGACGAGGCACUACGGUGCUGAAGUGAUAAAUGCCCUGCUUCCAGGAAAAGCCUCUAAGCAUCAGGUAACACGAAAUCGUACCCCAAACCGACACAGGUGGUCAGGUAGAGAAUACCAAGGCGCUUGAGAGAACUCGGGUGAAGGAACUAGGCAAAAUGGUGCCGUAACUUCGGGAGAAGGCACGCUGAUGUGUAGGUGAAGCCCCUGCGGGUGGAGCUGAAAUCAGUCGAAGAUACCAGCUGGCUGCAACUGUUUAUUAAAAACACAGCACUGUGCAAACACGAAAGUGGACGUAUACGGUGUGACGCCUGCCCGGUGCCGGAAGGUUAAUUGAUGGGGUCAGCGGCAACGCGAAGCUCUUGAUCGAAGCCCCGGUAAACGGCGGCCGUAACUAUAACGGUCCUAAGGUAGCGAAAUUCCUUGUCGGGUAAGUUCCGACCUGCACGAAUGGCGUAAUGAUGGCCAGGCUGUCUCCACCCGAGACUCAGUGAAAUUGAACUCGCUGUGAAGAUGCAGUGUACCCGCGGCAAGACGGAAAGACCCCGUGAACCUUUACUAUAGCUUGACACUGAACACUGGUCCUUGAUGUGUAGGAUAGGUGGGAGGCUUUGAAGCGUGGACGCCAGUCUGCGUGGAGCCAACCUUGAAAUACCACCCUUUAAUGGCUGGUGUUCUAACGUAGACCCGUAAUCCGGGUUGCGGACAGUGUCUGGUGGGUAGUUUGACUGGGGCGGUCUCCUCCCAAAGAGUAACGGAGGAGCACGAAGGUUGGCUAAUCCUGGUCGGACAUCAGGAGGUUAGUGCAAUGGCAUAAGCCAGCUUGACUGCGAGCGUGACGGCGCGAGCAGGUGCGAAAGCAGGUCAUAGUGAUCCGGUGGUUCUGAAUGGAAGGGCCAUCGCUCAACGGAUAAAAGGUACUCCGGGGAUAACAGGCUGAUACCGCCCAAGAGUUCAUAUCGACGGCGGUGUUUGGCACCUCGAUGUCGGCUCAUCACAUCCUGGGGCUGAAGUAGGUCCCAAGGGUAUGGCUGUUCGCCAUUUAAAGUGGUACGCGAGCUGGGUUUAGAACGUCGUGAGACAGUUCGGUCCCUAUCUGCCGUGGGCGCUGGAGAAUUGAGGGGGGCUGCUCCUAGUACGAGAGGACCGGAGUGGACGCAUCACUGGUGUUCGGGUUGUCAUGCCAAUGGCACUGCCCGGUAGCUAAAUGCGGAAGAGAUAAGUGCUGAAAGCAUCUAAGCACGAAACUUGCCCCGAGAUGAGUUCUCCCUGAGACUUUAAGUCUCCUGAAGGAACGUUAAAGACGAUGACGUUGAUAGGUCGGGUGUGUAAGCGCAGCGAUGCGUUGAGCUAACCGAUACUAAUGAACCGUGAGGCUUAACCUU